rnacentral:misc_RNA from 1 species
UUCUUCUUAAGGGUGAAUUCAUCUGCCUUUGCUGCGCUGAUUGACUUGUUAAGAAUGCGCUGCAGCCGCUCAAUUUCAUUAUUGGCAUAAUCAGAACCCUUGGCCAUGCAAUUCUUAGCAGCUUUCAGGUAAAUCUUUCCAUACCUUGUAGAGAAACCCUUAAGUUUCUCAACUUCUUCUUCCAUCCGAGAAACCACUGCUUUCUUUUCAUCAUCACCAGCAGCUACAAACUCUUUCACCAAGGUAUCCAAAGAUUCAACUAUACCAGCUUUUG